UAAUUUAAUGGCCGCGGUAUUUUGACCGUGCAAAGGUAGCAUAGUCAUUUGUUCAUUAAUUGUGGACUUGUAUGAAUGGUCGGACAAAAUAUUAACUGUCUCGUUUAAAAUAUUAUAAUUUAAAUUUUAAGUCAAAAUGCUUAAAUAUUUUUAUAGGACGAGAAGACCCUAUAGAUCUUUAUUAUUAUAUUAAUUUAAUUUAUUUUGUUUAUUUUUAAUUAAUUUAUUUAAUUUUUUAGUUGGGGUGACUUAAAGAUAUAUUUAACUCUUUAUAUAUUAUAUACAAUUGUAUUUGUUUAUUUGACCUUUUAUUAAUGUUUAAAGAUAUAGAUACCUUAGGGAUAACAGCGUAAUUCUUUUUGAGAGUUCUUAUCGACAAAAUAGAUUGCGACCUCGAUGUUGGAUUAAGAAUAAUUUUUGGUGAAGUAGCUAAAAUAUUAAGUCUGUUCGACUUUUAAAUUCUUACAUGAUCUGAGUU
rnacentral:rRNA from 1 species